rnacentral:misc_RNA from 1 species
AACGCACGAGACCUGCGGACCUGCGGAGGGAUCAUUAUCGAGUUUACAACUCCCAAACCAUUGUGAAUCUUACCUUUUCGUUGCUUCGGCGGGAUCGCCCCGGGCGCUUCGGUGCCCCGGAUUCAGGCGCCCGCCGGGGGACCUAAACUCUUGUAUUAUAGUGGAUUUCUGAGUGGAUUACACAAAUAAUCAAAACUUUCAGCAACGGAUCUCU